rnacentral:piRNA from 1 species
UGCUUAAAAGGUCGUUCCUUCUAGCGUCU